AUUGAACGCUGGCGGCAGGCUUAACACAUGCAAGUCGAGCGAGCGGCGGACGGGUGAGUAAUGUCUGGGAAACUGCCUGAUGGAGGGGGAUAACUACUGGAAACGGUAGCUAAUACCGCCUACCAUCGGAUGUGCCCAGAUGGGAUUAGCUAGUGGGUGGGGUAAUGGCUCACCUAGGCGACGAUCCCUAGCUGGUCUGAGCUGAUGACCAGCCACCCUGGAACUGAGACACGGUCCAGACCCCUACGGGAGGCAGCAGUGUGGAAUAUUGCACAAUGGGCGCAAGCCUGAUGCAGCCAUGCCGCGUGUGUUAAGACGGCCUUCGGGUUGUAAAGCACUUUCAGCGAGGAGGCGUUACUCGCAGAAGAAGCACCGGCUAACUCCGUGCCAGCAGCCGCGGUAGUAC
rnacentral:rRNA from 1 species